rnacentral:rRNA from 1 species
UUUAAGCUGUUAGACGGAUAGCUUGGUUUGGAUUGUGAUGAAGGACGUGGCAAGCUGCGAUAAGCCUUGGGGAGCCGCAUGCGGGCUUUGAACCAAGGAUCUCCGAAUGCGAAAACGUGUUCUUAUGAAAAUCCCGAGAGGGAAGCACACGCCGGGAAUUGAAACAUCUUAGUACCGGCAGGAAAAGAAAUCAAUCGAGAUUCCCCCAUUAGCAGCGAGCGAAAAGGGAAUAGGGCAAACCGAAUCCUUGUCUGAAAAGGCGUAGGAGAUGUGGUGGAGUUGAGCCUAAGGAAUCGAGGCGAAGUUGACUGGAACGUCGUGCGUUACAGGGUGAUAGCCCCGUAGCCGAAGAUUCUAUGGCAUGCUCCGAAAGAGUAGGGCUACCUAGAAAGGUGGUCUGAACACGGCGGGAUUAACCGCCAACCCUAAAUAUAAAUCCAAGUCCGAUAGCGAACUUAGUACCGCGAGGGAAAGCUGAAAAGUACCCUUAAUAGGGGGUUAAAAGACUUGAAAUCUAACAGUGACAGCUGGUUACGGCAUUACGGUGUUGUAACGUACGUUUUGAAAAAUGAGCCACGGAGUGUAUCUGUGUGGCGAGGUUAAAUUGAAGCCACAGCGAAAGCGAGUCUGAAAGGGCGCUAGUCACCCAGAUACGACCCGAAGCCGGAUGAUCUAUUCCUGAGCAGGUCGAAGUUUUUCGAAAGGAGAAUGGAGGACCGAACCAGUGCUAUGUGCAUGUGCUUGGAUGACUUGGGAAUAGGGGUGAAAAGCCAAUCUAAUUCGGCAAUGGCUGGUUCCUGUCGAAAUAUGCCGUAGUAUAGUCUAAUUGUGCUUGCUAGCGGGGUAAAGAUACGGAUAAGGUCCGCAGGACCGCAAGGUUACGGGACCCCUUCCAACUCAGAACCUGUUGGCUGUAUACAAUUGGAAUGGGGGGCAGGGCGUAAGGUUCUGUUCCGAAACGCGAACAAGCGAGACUGAAGUUAAGGUCCCAAAAUAUAUGCUAAGUGUAACAAACUAAGUCUUAAACCUGAGACACUAGGGAUGUAGGCCCAGAAGCAGCCAUCAUUCAAAGAAAGCGUAACAGCUCACCUAUUGAGGUUUGAGGCGGGGAAAAUGGACGGGGCUAAGCAUAUUACCGAUACUUCAGAGGCACUCGAAAGAGUGUUCUGGUAGGCAGGCGUCCCUUCUGCGCAGAAGCGUUCUCGAAAGAGUGCGUGGAGCGGGAGGGAACGAGGAUCGUGGUGUAAGUAAGAUCGAAUUGCCCUGAGAACGGGCAACGCCGAAAGAGCAAGGUUUCCUUGGCACUAUCGUUUAACCAAGGGUUAGUCGGCACCUAAGUCACACCUUAACUGGCUGUGGCGAAUGGACAUCCGGUUAAUAUUCCGGAACUGUUGCAAUGUUCCGCACGUACUGCUUUCGGAUACGCGGAGGGCCGAGAGGUCCAAUCAAGGAGAAAAACGUCGAGCGUAAUGCAUAGACGCGUUUGAAUGCUUGGUGAAUCCGCAGACUCCAGGAGCCCAUGAAAAAUACGUGUCUAACGCGUUGCAAUAGCCGUACCAAGAACCGACACUAGUGCUCUAGCUGAGAAGGCUAAGGCGUGAAAGGAUAAUUUGGUUAAGGGAACUCGGCAAUUUGGCCCUGUAUCUUCGGUACAAGGGGUGUCUAUAAAUGUGCUUGAUUUAUUAGGUGCGUUCGUAGAUCGCAGUAACAAGGACUGCCCGACUGUUUAUCAAAAACGUAGCUGAGUGCAAAUCCUAAAGGACUAGUAUACUCAGUGAGACCUGCCCAGUUGCGGUGUGUCAAAGUUCAGUUCAAUGGACCUAAGCCCCGUAAAACGGCGGGCCUAACUAUGAGGCUUGAGCUUGUGGUGAAAUUCCACUAAGCUUUAAUCAAUAAGGGCCUCAAUAAAUUUGGCUAUAUGCUGGAACACGAUGUAGAAGUUGUGAUAGGAAGUUAAUUCCGCAAGGAGUUAAUGAUCACUGAAAAUUCACAAUAGAGUCGCAAUCAGCAGGAAAGGCUUCUCUUUGAGAAGAAUCCCCAGAGACUACACGCCAAACAUCAAAUAAUUUUUCGUAAAGCGAAGCAUCGUGACUAAGUCUGAUGCGAAGCAAUGAUUUGAUGAUGAUAUAGUCCAACAAAUAAUGUUAUUUGUGCUUAAGGUAGCGUAAUGCCUUGUCGUCUGAAUGGCGACGUGCAUGAAUGGUUUAACGAGGUAGUCGCUGUCCCUAACCAACACCUUCUGAACUCACUUUACCGGUGAACAAGCCGGUGACUCCUAGUGGGAAGCUGAGACCUUGUGGACCUUUACUGCAACUUGUUGUUGCGGUGUCCAGCGAAAUGCAUAGCAUAAGUGGGAGCGUCGAUGGUUAGCUUAGGCGAAACCGGAGCGACCUUGUAAUACCACUCAUUCCGCUGAACAUUGCUAACUCUCUUUGGGAGGACAUCAGCAGGCGGGCAGUUUGGCUGGGGCGGCACCCUCCAGAAAAGAUAUCUGGAGGGCCCAAAGUUAAGCUCAGUCAGGUUGGAAAUCUGACGUUGAGUGCAGAAGCAAAAGCUUAACUGACUGUAUCUCGCACAGCAACGGAUGCAGAGAUGAAAGUCUGGUUCAGCGACCCCACGUGAUCUUUUAAUAGGAUCCGUGUGUGACAGAAAAGGUACCCCAAGGAUAAUUGGCUGGUCGCGCCCGAUAGUCCAUAUUGACGGCGCGGUUUGGUGCGUCGCUGUCGGCUCUUCCUAUCCUGGUACUGCACAAGGUACCAAGGGUGUCGGAGUUCACGCA